rnacentral:lncRNA from 1 species
GCUUUGUGAUAUAUUAAAACAGGGACCACACUGCAUGUAGUGGCCAAGUAAGCAGUCCCCAUCUCUCUCCAGAAAGAAGAAACCAGAAAUACUGCAUGUAUAUGUGUGGAUGUGGGGGUAUGGGGUAUUCAUGAAAACUGCACUACCAGGUGAUGGUGGCUAAAAUCAUUGUAAAAACAUCCUUCGGGUGUCUGUUCUAGCCCUGGGUACUAAAGCUAUGUUUGUACUUCAGUUCUCUAAAACACCCCAGAGUCCCAUGGAGGAGUUUGGUUAGACACAUCAGGAGGCACGCACGGAUGAGACAAUUUUGCCUAUGGGGCACUGGAUGACAGUGGUGUAAUUUUGCUUUCCUCUCUGUACCACCUGGAUGUUUCAAUUCCCCAAAACAACCAUACUCCUUCCCACCACAGGGUUUUAUGAAAUACUUCUGUAUAUCAAUUAUCAAGUGCCACACUACAGAUGGUUCGAACACUUGGUGGCUCAGCAUUGCCACCAUUUAUUGGGGUCCUGCUUUUGAACCUCCUUCAGGUUUUAUGGUAUGCUCUAGGUAGCACUUACCCAGGCUGACUAUCGAUGUUUUGCCCAGGAUGAUUGUCUUACUAGCUAUCUGGUCACGGGAUGGCUGUGGGCUGUGUGGAGUGUGAAUAGAAGGCCUGCGGGUUUCUUAUCCUCUGAGGACAAGAAGCUGGGCUUCCCGUGGAAUGGGCUUCUGGGAGCAGUUGCCACUAUCUAGUCAAAGCAAGCAACAAAGCAGACCCAAUUUAAGGUGCACAGAAGUCGACUUUGCCUCCUGAUGGCAGGAGCUUCCGAGGACCACGUGACGAUUCCCUCAUCUGGCCACUCAUCACCUUUGUAUGCCAGCAUAAAGAAUAUUUUUUCCAUGGAAACCUGCCCUGACACUAUUAAUUUCCUAUAUAUUCUCUCUUGGAGUAGCUGGGCACUUAACCAACAUGGCGGGAAGAGCAAAGCAAAGGACACAUGCCUACUUUAAUGGAUGCCUACUUCAUGACCACUAUGCUGCUAGUAUACAAGUACUCAAUAAAUGUAUAUCGAUGGCAAUUCUAUGCUACUUCAGUAAGGCAAAAAGUAGGUCAUAGAUAUGUAUUGAUCAGUGCUAUAGGGAUUAUCGUUCUGUAGCAUCUGUAUCUCAUGUGCUUUAUUCUUCAUAAUAAAUCUGACUCUUUUUAAUAUUAUCUUCAUUUCUUCCUAAGGAAACAGGUAUGUGGUAUGAAGUGGCAUUUCUAUCUGAUUUCAGAGUCCAUACACUUUUUGAGCUUCAUUUCCCAAGGUGCUUCCAAUACCAGGUACAAGAGAUCAAUUCGUGUUGGGAAUGAAGGAAACUGAGAACCCACCCAUAUUCCCUGACAACCCAAGAGUUAAAUGCUUCCAUGCUUGCUUCUUGUUAGAAGUUUCUGAAAAGGCACUGCCUCUUCAUAAUUAGUUUUCUCUGCUUGUCAAAAUGGGAGCCUUUGAACCGUGUUCUGAGCUGACCUUGGGCUUAGUCUAAGGUCUGAGAAGUUGGAGUAUGAAAUGAUCCUGCUAGGUCAUGACCAGGUACAUCAUGAGGGUAAGUGAGAUUUUUCAGUAAGAGAUGUCUGGGAGAUAAGUGGAAAAGGUAUUUCUCCAUCAUCCUCUUAACCAGAUGUCCUCUGCGCUGGACAUCUGAAGCAUGGGGACAGUGACAAGAGCCUCUGAGAAGGGGUCCUGCCACUGAGAGCUCCCAGGAGGGAGAAACCUCUCAGGUGGGAGGUACUUAAGGAUGCUACUGUGAGUUGGGAAGCCAUUGCCCUUCAAUUUUCAAUAAACACUAUGUGUGUCACUGUGAUAGAGGGCACGGAUGCUCCUGCGGUUCUCAAACCCUGCUGAGGAUUAAGAUUGAUUGCCCGGACUUAAAGACAAAUGGUGUCUAGGCUUGCCUUUCAGAGAUUCCGAUUAAACAUGUUUAGAGAUGGUUUGGGUAUCUGACUACUUGGCUCCUCAAUCCAAAGUAGCUGUUUUUAUUACUAGGAUUUUGCUACUAGCUGUGGGUAACCUUAGUUGGGUCCUUUCAUGUGCUUGCAUUUGAUGGUUCCCUAAUUUGCACAGCAGAAGCCUUGUAUAGAAGUCAUAAUCCCCAUCCUUCCUACAUCUGUAGAGGAAAAAAAAUCACAUGAUAAAAGAACCAGAACUGUAGUUACUGAAUUUUUGUGAUCUCACACACCUGUAAUACAGUUAGCAGUAUGGUAAAGGAACAAGUACUUCUGACUACUAGUGAGAUGUCAUUUCAAAACUAUAUUGUUAAAAAAUAAAUCUAAAAUAAUAAACAAUCUUAGGAAUAAAAAUGACAAGAUAAAAU